UUGAACCCGGGAGGCAGAGGUUGCAGUGAGCCAAGAAGAGCAAGUCACUUCUUACAUGGAUGGCAGCAGGCAAAGAGAGAUAGAGCUUGUUCAGGGAAACCUCCACCUUAUAAAGCCAUCAGAUCUCAUGAGAUUUAUUCACUAUUAUGAGAACAACACAGAAGAGACCUCCCCU